AUUUGUAUUAUUUCAUAGCGACGUUGCUUUUUUAUCCUUUGUUGUCGGCUAUUCCUAUCAUUGUGAAGCAGAAUUCGCCAAGUGUUGCACCCACCAAUAGGAAAUUGAGCUGGGAUAGACCGUUGUGAGACAAGUU
rfam:Beta vulgaris subsp. vulgaris Bvchr3.sca003.con0072.1, whole genome shotgun sequence.